CUGCUUUUCAUUUCAUACUGAGCCUCACAAAUUCCAUAGCCAGGCCAGCUCCCACAUAGGGCAGUGAGUAAGACAUGCCCUACCUGUCCUGGAGCUUCCAAGUAUUUCCUAGACUGUGGAGAUGCCUAGAGGAUUCGACUUUUAUGCCUGGAAUUUUUUUCAAUAUUUAGAGCGAAAUUGAGUAAAGAGAUCAGACUACCUUCCAGGUCUGUUCAAUCCUGGGAUGACACUAACUAUACAGGACUAGGCAGCCUUACGGUUCUAUCAUAUGAUACAAGAGGUCUGAAAGUGGAACCAUCAAACCAGCUCAUUCCUUUUUGUAACUCCUUUAGAGGUUAAAAAAAAAAAACAAAAACCCACCAAAACUAAACUAGUUUAAACUGUUUCAACACUCAGUGGCCGUUCAGGGGACUAAGGAGUCAAAAUCGUAGGAAGAAAAAAAAAUCCACCGCUGGUGUCUUGGGAUACGUUAACCAAGUCCUGGAGGCUGACCCUCAGUUUGGAGGGAAGGAGUGAGCUAACAAAACAAGUCCAAAAGUGGAGAGGGGAAUGGGGUGUGCUAUGGAGUAACACCGGCUUCCAGGACAAAGGUUACACAUUUGGAGUCACGGUCAAAGCAUGAGCCUGUCACAGUUUCACACAGAAGAGAUUUUUGAAGGCAAAAGUAGAUCUGACAAAACACAGCCAGCACCACACUCACCGCCACGCACACACCCCGAAGGCUUUAGAAAAGUCGACGACCACUCAGCAAAUGCGAGACACCGGAAACAGAAGAGCGGCUGAGUCCUCGCAGUUCACAUCCACUCCGUUUACUUGGCCCCACAAUUUGUUCUCGUCAUUUGCGUAAAGGUUCUUGGCUAUUCCACGUACCUACUAGGUUAGCGAAGCCAGCACCUGAAUCCUCACUUCGUCUGUCAACCGCGCCUCCUCCGCAUUUGGGCGUUCAGCCACCGCCCACCGCCAAUCGCCCCACCCCUCGCGGCGAACGCCGUCCCGCUUCUCGCCUCCUCCCACCAUUAACUUUCCUCGUGGCGUUCAAUUGUUCUCGCGAGAUUUCGGGCCCACUAUUAGCUGGGUCGCGGGCUGGAUCUUCCUUUCCUUGCGCGAGGUUGUGGAGAGAAACUACAUCACGUUUACCGAAUUGUCAGAACUCUUAAGCAAAUAACAAGUGGCGAAUAAAACAAUUUGGAGAAGGACUUGGGAGAUAUGUAACUGGAAUGAAUUUUAACUCUAUAAUGGCAUCUAAUUCAGCUGUGGAAAUUGAAAAUGAGAGGUAAGUGCUGUUUUCUUAAUCAACCACCACUAGAUUUUUACUGCAAAACUGACUAGAUUGGCUGAUAACGUUUACUGUAUUUUUAUUAUUGGGUAAGCAAUAAAGGUAAUUUUCAAUAAUUAGGAAAGAAAAGGAAAACCUGUUUUACACAGGUCUUCAGUUUAUGUAGUUAACAGUGGGACACAUUCUUAACCCUGGGGAAACAAUAUUCUCUGGGCCAAUUUGGUAUCUCUUCCUGGCUAAAUCAUCCUAAUCUUAAAACAGGAAAAUAGACAUCAGUGGGGGAUCUUGCUUAAAAAUCAACUUGUUGGGAUAAUGCACAUUAUAAUAGAGCUGGCAUGAUGGAAAUAAUCACUGGGAAAUCCAAUCAGCAUUUCUGUUGUAAUCAAAUAUCUGUUUGCUAGGCUACUCUUGUUUUAUUUAGAGCAAGCUCUAGCACUAAACAAGACUGCCUUUGGAAAUUAAAAUUCUAUUAUUUAUCUUGGAAGGUGAUGUUUUGGUAAGAGCUAUGGCAUCAUGAUAUUAUGGCAUUACGGUCCAUUUUAGGUAGUCUGAACUAAGUGGUUGGUUUAGUCCUGAGCAUGUUUUCCUGUUUUUGGUCUGUGGAAGA
ensembl:lncRNA